AUUGAACGCUGGCGGCAGGCCUAAUACAUGCAAGUCGAACGAGUGGCGGAAGGGUGAGUAAUGUCUGGGAAACUGCCUGAUGGAGGGGGAUAACUACUGGAAACGUUAGCUAAUACCGCAUACCAUCGGAUGUGCCCAGGUGGGAUUAGCUUGGGGGUGGGGUAACGGCUAACCAAGGCGACGAUCCCUAGCUGGUCUGUGAGGAUGACCGGCCACACUGGAACUGAGACACGGUCCAGACUCCUACGGGAGGCAGCAGUGGGGAAUAUUGCGCAAUGGGCGCAAGCCUGAUGGAGCCAUGCCGCGUGAAUGAAGAAGGCCUUCGGGUUGUAAAGUACUUUCAGCAGGGAAGCGGUACCCGCAGAGGAAGCACCGGCUAACUCCGUGCCAGCAGCCGCGGUAAUAC
rnacentral:rRNA from 1 species